GACGAACGCUGGCGGCGUGCCUAAUACAUGCAAGUAGAACGCUGAAGGAGGAGCUUGCUUCUCUGGAUGAGUUGCGAACGGGUGAGUAACGCGUAGGUAACCUGCCUGGUAGCGGGGGAUAACUAUUGGAAACGAUAGCUAAUACCGCAUAAUAGUAGAUGUUGCAUGACAUUUGCUUAAAAGGUGCAAUUGCAUCACUACCAGAUGGACCUGCGUUGUAUUAGCUAGUUGGUGGGGUAACGGCUCACCAAGGCGACGAUACAUAGCCGACCUGAGAGGGUGACCGGCCAACUGGGGACUGAAAACCGGCCCAAAUCCCUCGGGGAGGCAGCAGAGGGGAAUUUUCGGCAAUGGGGGGAAGUCUGACCGAGCAACGCCGCGGGGGUAAAAAAGGUUUUCGGAUCGUAAAGCUUUUUUGUAAGGAAAGAAGGGGUGUGGGGGUGGAAAGUUCACACUGGGACGGUAUUGUACCAAAAAGGGGCGGCAAACUACGU
rnacentral:rRNA from 1 species